GACGUAGGGGGCGAGAGCGUUGUCCGGAUUUAUUGGGACGUAAAGCGCGCGUAGGCGGCCGCGCAAGUCGGAUGUGAAAACCCGGGGCUCGAACCCCCGGGCGAUGCAUUCGUAUAUGGCCGCGGGCUCGAGGACAGGUAGGGGAGAUUGGAAUUUACGGUGUAGCGGUGAAAUGCGUAGAUAAUCGUAAGGAAGACCAGUGGCGAAGGCGGGGUCUCCUGGACAGUUCCUGACGCUGGAGGCACGAAAGGCCCAGGGGGAGC
rnacentral:rRNA from 1 species